AUUGAACGCUGGCGGCAGGCCUAACACAUGCAAGUCGGACGGUAGCACAGAGGAGCUUGCUCCUCGGGUGACGAGUGGCGGACGGGUGAGUAAUGUCUGGGGAUCUGCCCGAUAGAGGGGGAUAACCACUGGAAACGGUGGCUAAUACCGCAUGACGUCGCAAGACCAAAGAGGGGGACCUUCGGGCCUCUCACUAUCGGAUGAACCCAGAUGGGAUUAGCUAGUAGGCGGGGUAACGGCCCACCUAGGCGACGAUCCCUAGCUGGUCUGAGAGGAUGACCAGCCACACUGGAACUGAGACACGGUCCAGACUCCUACGGGAGGCAGCAGUGGGGAAUAUUGCACAAUGGGCGCAAGCCUGAUGCAGCCAUGCCGCGUGUAUGGAGAAGGCCUUCGGGUUGUAAAGUACUUUCAGCGGGGAGGAAGGCGAUGUGGUUAAUAACCGCGUCGAUCGACGUUACCCGCAGAAGAAGCACCGGCUAACUCCGUGCCAGCCGCCGCAGUAA
rnacentral:rRNA from 1 species